GGGUUCCAAAACUGUGCCUACAUCCUUCCUUCACGGAUGAUGUAAGCUUUCAAGAAAUUGGGGUUUUCACCCGUAAAUCCAUUUUUGGCAUUUGGGGUUUCACCCAGAAACCCAACUAAUUCAAACAAGAAAUAGUAACAAACUUAAAACUACUCAAAUACAUCAUAACCCACAUAUAGUUCCACAUUAAUUCAACAUAAUCCUGUGAAAAAACCAAUGGUGAUAUAAGUUGUGUUGCUAAUAAAUAUUGCAAAUGAGGAAGUGAAGGAUGGUCCCAUUGAGAUCCAACUUGAAAAAGAUUGAAGACGUUGUUCCACGAUGAUAACUAAGGUGCUAUAUCAGAGGAAACCCAGAAAUUCCAUAAAAGUGGCUUGUAUUUUUUUAAUUUGGUUGUAUAGAUUUUAAUAUUUGCCAUUGAUAUAUCCAUGACUCUGUGGCACUAUGGAAUUUGUGAGUUAGUUUGAGAAGGGGAAUGUGUUACAAUUUGGGCGUUGAACUAAAAUAUGGUAUGCAAAAGAUCAGCUAUUGGCCUCAGAUACCGCAAUUAUGGGCUUUGUUCCUUCGCGAUCACUGUCACCUACUUGUUAAUGAUGGCAUACCUGAUGAGUGGUGAUUUUACAAAUUAUUCACUAUCAUUAUUAGUGCACAUUACAUUGUUUAAAAUGAGUAAAUUAGUCAUGAUUGUGAUUAAAUACCCUAAUAUCGAAUCUUUGUAGGUAUAAGAGUGGAAAAGAUUAAGAGAUGUAGGGUGGAGUUUGAAAUGAUCAAAAAAGAGAAGAAAAAGUACAGAUGAAGACCCAAAAUAAAAGAGCCUCAAUUAUCAUGGUUGCAGUCGCGGUCAGUCUAGAUGGUCAAUCAACCACGACCGUGGAUGUUAACCACGGUUGUAUAGCUAGAAUCCUAGCCAGUCUUGCACGAUUGCGGCUUGGCAGAAAUGUUCAGCCCAAGGGCAAAACUAUGAUUGCAUGAGAUGAUCCUAAUUUGAACAAAAAUACUCGAACCCUAGUUUCAUGUGUUAUUCAUUCUAUCACAAUUCAUUUUCCCAAAUAUA
rnacentral:lncRNA from 1 species